CCUACGGGGGGCAGCAGUGAGGAAUAUUGGUCAAUGGGCGAGAGCCUGAACCAGCCAAGUCGCGUGAAGGAUGAAGGAUCUAUGGUUUGUAAACUUCUUUUAUAAAGGAAUACAGUGAGGCACGUGUGCCUUUUUGUAUGUACUUUAUGAAUAAGGAUCGGCUAACUCCGUGCCAGCAGCCGCGGUAAUACGGAGGAUCCGAGCGUUAUCCGGAUUUAUUGGGUUUAAAGGGAGCGUAGAUGGGUUGUUAAGUCAGUUGUGAAAGUUUGCGGCUCAACCGUAAGAUUGCAAUUGAUACUGGCAGCCUUGAGUACAGUUGAGGUAGGCGGAAUUCGAGGUGUAGCGGUGAAAUGCUUAGAUAUCACGAAGAACUCCGAUUGCGAAGGCAGCUUACUAAACUGCCACUGACAUUGAUGCUCGAAAGUGUGGGUAUCAAACAGGAUUAGAUACCCCAGUAGUC
rnacentral:rRNA from 1 species